GGACACGCUUCUGGUUUGGAUAUUUAUUUGGACUUUAUACCACUUAAAGGAAUUCAAACUUGAACGCAACACCAACAAAGACGCUUACGCUGGUCCAGCAAAUACGAGGAGUAGCGGGCAGGGAGUCCAGCACGCCACAGUUCUUCAAUAUUGUUUUCUUCAUGGUGCUGAUGAGGAAGUGACUGCAGCUCUGCCUCCAAUAUGAGUCAGCAUGGAGCCUCUGCUGGUGGCCAUGGACAUUCAAGGCCAGUGGAUGAGAGGACACACUCCCCUGCACCCAGCUGUGUGUCCAUGAAGAGCGAUCGCUCAAAG